rnacentral:rRNA from 1 species
AGUUUGAUCCUGGCUCAGGACGAACGCUGGCGACGUGCCUAACACAUGCAAGUCAAGGGGAAAGGGGUAGCAAUAUCCCGAGUACACUGGCGCACGGGCGAGUAACGCGUAGGCAACCUGCCUUCAGGACGGGGAUAAUUCAGCGAAAGCUGGACUAAUACCCGAUGACAUUCUGUUGCAGCAUUGUAACGGAAUCAAAAGCCCGCAAGGGUGCCCGGAGAUGGGCCUGCGUCCCAUUAGGUAGUUGGUGAGGUAACGGCUCACCAAGCCAACGAUGGGUAGCUGGUCUGAAAGGAUGGUCAGCCACACUGGAACUGAGACACGGUCCAGACUCCUACGGGAGGCAGCAGUGAGGAAUAUUGGUCAAUGGGCGAGAGCCUGAACCAGCCAUCCCGCGUGCAGGAAGAAUGCCCUAUGGGUUGUAAACUGCUUUUUCGCAUGAAGAACACCCCCGACGUGUCGGGGGCUGACGGUAAUGCGUGAAUAAGCACCGGCUAACUCCGUGCCAGCAGCCGCGGUAAUACGGAGGGUGCAAGCGUUAUCCGGAUUUAUUGGGUUUAAAGGGUGCGUAGGCGGCUAUUUAAGUCAGUGGUGAAGUCCUGCAGCUCAACUGUAGAACAGCCAUUGAAACUGAAUAGCUUGAGUGAUCUUGAGGUAGGCGGAAUGUGUAGUGUAGCGGUGAA